UCAAGGAUAGGGUUUUGCGGACCCCUCUGGAUGUGGUCUCAUCUGUUUCCCUCAUUUUUAUGGAGGUCAUUGAUCUUCUAUAUCUCUGGAAUCAAUAAGGACUUUUUCUUCCUCAACCUUAUGUUGAAUGGGCCACGCGGGAGGCUCUACCGUACUGUGUCCGGACGGCUUACUUAUUAGGUGAUGGGGCCCCUGAUAUAGAACUUUUCCAAAUAGGACCCUAAACAAACCCUCAAGCAUGAGGGCUUUAUCUGUUAAAGGAUAAUGUGUUUUGGAAUCAAC
rnacentral:lncRNA from 1 species